UUUUGAUUUGCUAAUGUCCAAUAAUCAACAUCCUUAAGAAUUCAAGACAUCUCGAUAGAAGUCAACAAACUUUGCAAAACAUUUUGUUCAUUCAGAAAUUUUAAUUCUAAUGGGAAGUUAGUCUAAGCUUGAUAAACUUCUACGUGAUUCAACUAUAUCCCGAUAAUUUUUAUUGGCUUUUUUGUAAAUUCUUACAAUCUAGAAGGGUUUAGGUGUUGCUGAUACAAGGUUAAUUUACAAGUUCAAUUAAUUAUUUUUCUGAUCUUGUCUUUCUUAGUGAGUACUGGCUAGGGAAUUUAAUGAAAAGGUUAAUUUAGUCUUAAAUAAUGUAAGGUGGAUACCUUUAUUUAUACAAGUUUGGGCUAUAAACUUUCAUAGGCCUCAAGAAUGUAAAAUAGUUUCUUUCUAAUGGUCAUAAGACAUAACCAAACACAUCAAACUUUCCAUUGAUAGAAACUUUUACCAAUCAUACUAGAGUAUGGAGAGGCAAAUUCAUGUCUGGGUGAAAAGAUGAGGUAGAAAUAGCUCUUAUGCCCCAUAAAGAAUUCCUCACAUCUUACUACUAGGCCAAGCAUAAGUUUUGGAACCAUGUCAUAGUAGACACACAUAUAUAUAUAGGUCCUAUAUUAGCAGUUAACAGUUUCAUCGUAUGCUUGAAACAAUUUUCGUUAGUUCAGCUCUACGAUAGAAGAGAACAGGCCCAGCCCAACUAUUCUUCUAGUGCAUAGUCAAGAUGAGAUUAUCAAGAUAAGUUCCUACACCCAAUACUAUCCCGAAACUGGAUCCAAGGCAAAAUUAGGAGAAUUUAAUAUCUUUACAUGACAUAACCAUCUUCAAUGACUGAAUUAGAAGCUUCAUCAUACACAUUUUAUCACAAGAAAUGAGUAGUUUUUUUUGCUUGAUCCUUUCUGGUUCUAUACUGGGAAUUACCUUUUCAAGUGUAUUUUUUUUUUUCCUGUUAUUUAAAGCAGAGUGUUUAUCACAAAAUUGAAUGUUGCACAUGAAUAUGCAUUUCUACUCUUGUUGCUCAAAACACAUGAAGUUGCCCUUCAAUUAAUUCUUUUAUCUUUCUCUUGUAUAGAAAACGCUUCCACAUGUUCAAUGACGUAAUCAUAAUCUAAAGCAAGAGUUAUUAUUAGGAAACAUCUCUCGAAUUUCCUUCCCUAAUGGGGUUAUUUUUUUACCAUCCAUACUAGGCUGUGUAUAAGAGGGACCCGUGUACUUAUCUAUAUAGUAUAUAUAUUUUGUUAGCGCCUACUUUUCCAUACUUCAUUAGAUUGUUGAUAUACAUUUAUGUUCUUAGGUAAAUUGUAAUUUUUGUAUUUUAGUAAAUGAUAAGGAAUGUUUUAGGGAAAAUCUCAACCUGUUAGGAUUGAAUUAUAAAAACAUACUNUACUCAACCUGUUAGGAUUGAAUUAUAAAACAAUACUAUACUUAAAUACCUCUUUGGUUAGGUUCAAUUGUG
rnacentral:lncRNA from 1 species